rnacentral:rRNA from 1 species
GACGAACGCUGGCGGCGUGCUUAACACAUGCAAGUCGAACGGAAAGGCCCUGCUUUUGUGGGGUGCUCGAGUGGCGAACGGGUGAGUAACACGUGAGUAACCUGCCCUUGACUUUGGGAUAACUUCAGGAAACUGGGGCUAAUACCGGAUAGGAGCUCCUGCUGCAUGGUGGGGGUUGGAAAGUUUCGGCGGUUGGGGAUGGACUCGCGGCUUAUCAGCUUGUUGGUGGGGUAGUGGCUUACCAAGGCUUUGACGGGUAGCCGGCCUGAGAGGGUGACCGGCCACAUUGGGACUGAGAUACGGCCCAGACUCCUACGGGAGGCAGCAGUGGGGAAUAUUGCACAAUGGGCGGAAGCCGGAGGCAGCAACGCCGCGUGCGGGAUGACGGCCUUCGGGUGGUAAACCGCUUUCGCCUGUGACGAAGCGUGAGGGACGGUAAUGGGUAAAGAAGCACCGGCUAACUACGU